AUUUGGUACCGAGAGUAGGGUACUGUUUUUACAGAUACCUAAAAUGUGGAAGCUGGUUUUGAAACUGAAUGGAUAGAAUUGGGACAGCAGCAGAGGACCAGCACAGCAGAGAACCUGCAGUGGCAAAGAAGUGAGAACACCAGAGAACCAGAAGCAGCAGAACCAGAAGACCAGCGUGAGACAGCGCUGGAGCUGACCCACAGAGAGAGGGAGCUGAGUGCCUGUGCACAGGAGGCUUCCUGGUUGAGUGGGGUACUUCCUGGCUCUUAUCGGUGGAGCUAGGCUUGCAGACCCACAGAGCCAGAGAACUGAGUGCCUGUGUGCAGCAGGCUUCCUGGUGGAGUGGGGUGCCUCCAGGCACUUACCGGUGGAGCUACAGAGCUUUGGAACACUUGCCCCAGCAGGGUGCGUGCAAGUGUGAGUCCCGAGGAGCUGAGAGGCCAAGAAACCAGGAAGCAGAAGCUGAAGAGACAAGGAACACAAGAAGCUGAGCUGCCUCAGUCUCAAAGGUUUCACAGAUGAAGAUGAAUUUUUGGAUUUUGGACUUGAAGUUAAGACUUUUGGCAUGGAGAUAAAAGGGAAGCAAGCAGAGAGUUGGGGACCUCAUACCACCAAGAAGGCAGCACCAGGAGCAGAACACAUCCUUUGGACACAGGGUCCCUGCACCUGAAAAGCUCCUUGACUAGGAGAAGAUUGAGGACAAGGACCUUCCUACAGAGCCGAAAGAGAGAGAAAGCCUUCCCCUGCAGCCGAUGCCCUCAAUUUGGACUUGGAACCUACCAGACUGUGAGAGAAUAAAUUUCCCUUUGUUAAAGUCAUCCACUUGUGGUAUUUCUGUUACAGGAGCAACUAAAUAAGACAAGAUAUAACACCUACUCUCAAGGGACUCAUAUUUACUGGUGAAAACAGAACCAGAAAGUAAUAAGAAUUACAAAAUAGUAUAUAUCAGCACAGUAAGAGAAGUAUAUACAAGGUAAGAAAGAGGGAAGGGAAGGAAGGAAUAUAUUCUUAGUGUCUUCUUCUCCAGCCAAUUGCUUUCCUCUAACUAUACCAAACACAUCACUUCUCACUUGGGUUCCACAUUGAGCCUUUCUGCUAAUCCAGAAAUAAUUUUCCUCUUUUAAAAUCAGACUCAUAGGCUAAGCUCCUUAAUGUUUCUUAUUGUUUUACUUUCUCUUUUUUAAUGUUUUUAUUUUGCUAUGGGGGGAGCGUCUUAA